rnacentral:piRNA from 1 species
UGAGAGCAUUGCAUGUCCAGGCUAC